GAUUUAUAUCUGUCAGUUUUUUGAGACUUUAUUGACUUUGAAAUGUUGUCAAUGUUAACAUUAUCAUGAGAAUUUACUAUAUUCUCUUCAGGUCGCAACGCAGGCCUGGAUUGAAGUAAUUUGUCUCAUCUACUAUGACAUCUCUGACAGUAAUAAAUUUUUCGCAUUUAGGAUUCCAAACUUUAUAACCGUUUGGUUCGUAUCCCACAAGAAUACCUUUCCAUGACUUAACAUCGAAUUUUGUCUUAUAUAACUUAUCAUGCACAUAAACUGUUGAACCAAAAAAAUUUAAAUAUUUUAUUUGUUGUUUUUUGUUAUGCCACAUUUACGAAUUCAAUCAUCAUGUGACGUAAUUGGUGAAUAAUAUUGUAAUUGAAAAGGAUAUUUCUCUUUAAAUGUACAAGCUGUGUGUGAUGCAGAAAUAAAAUAUAUUAAUGUUGUUCCCCAUGGCCUGGUGCCGCUCAUGAUGCAACAACUUUUGUAAACUCAGUUCUACAAGUUAAUUCAAAUUUAUUGAUAAGAAGGUAGAACUUGAUAAAUGUGCCAACUAAAUUAACAGGUAUAUUUGUUUAUAGCUUAAUAUCGUACAGGUCUACUGAGAAAUCACUGGAUGGUUGUUAAUAGUGCUUACUCAAAUAUACCUUAUUCAUUAACACCAUUUCUCUGACUGACCAGAGAUAUGAUGAAGUACACAUUAAGAAUAGGAAUACUAUAGAGAGAUAUACCGGCAGAAGUUUUAGUUCCAACACUUGAUACAGUUUCAAGUCAAGAAGUUAAUG